rnacentral:lncRNA from 1 species
AACAACACUCAGGCAAGCUAAACCUGAUAGAUGCUCAACAGGCAGGAGACAGACGAAGAGAAAAACACAGCCAGAGCGAGCUCUAUCUGGUGGCUGCAAACAGGAUAUCGAGUACUGCCUGCUGCCAGCACAGGUGGGGAAAGGGGGCUCUCAAAGGCAACUUGCUCUCACGGAGCAGGCUCAAGCACUUCCCACCUGCUGCUGGUUAUAGUUCCUCCUGGAAGCUGCUGUUCUUUCUCUCACACAGGAGUACUCAUAGCUGCUUGGAGAGGUGGAAAACCUUGCUGCUGUUCAACAAGGAUGACUGGAACAGACAUCGUUCACUUAUCAGCAAAGCCAAACACAGAUUGUCUGGUAAAGGGAACAAAGCAACUAAAUAGGUCUGGCCAAACAUCCAAGCUCAGCCAGACCACCCUGCACUGAGGCUGCCAAAGACACCAAACUUAUGGAAGUUUGAUGAGGCACAAAGCAGCCUCAAGACCAAGGUGUUUUCUUCUCAGUACUAAUUCAGCCCCAUGGAGACACUGCUGGAUCUGAAAGCACGGGAGGAUGACAGCCCUUCUCCAGUUUAACUUUCUACAGCUCUGGUUUGGCAUGGGGAAGUUGGAGUCUCCGGGCUGCUGCAAAAUUUUAUUGGGUCCAUAUUCCCAGAGAUCUGUUCAUGUAAUAUAUGGAAAUAGUGCCUUUUUCUUUAGAUAGCAUUUUCAGCAGCAGAACAGAGGCAUCCACUUACAUACCUACAAAACAUAGGUUCUAUCUGACUCUUCUAUUCAGUGCAACACAGAGCAGUUUCAUCAGCUGCAGCAAUGUCCAUAGCUGAUUUUAAGCAACUUGGGCCAGACUGGAGCUAAUAUCAUUUCUCUGGACUUGAAUAUAAAUCGCUACCAGCCUGUCCUAGCAGAAAUUUGUCCCCAGGCUUCCCAGCCACACUGGCUUCACAAGGCAGGACACAGCAGGACCCACAUGCUGUCCCCCCUGCCCACACCACCAGCCAUCAAUGCUGCCAAAGAAAUAAAAGCCAUCAAAGUUUUCA